UACGGAGGAGGCUAGCGUUGUUCGGAAUUACUGGGCGUAAAGCGCGCGCGGGCGGUUAUGCAAGUCAGGGGUGAAAGCCCGAGGCUCAACCUCGGAACGGCCUUUGCGACUGCAUGACUAGAGACCGGGAGAGGAGAGUGGAAUUCCCAGUGUAGAGGUGAAAUUCGUAGAUAUUGGGAAGAACACCAGUGGCGAAGGCGGCUCUCUGGCCCGGACCUGACGCUGAGGCGCGAAAGCGUGGGGAGCAAACAGG
rnacentral:rRNA from 1 species